rnacentral:rRNA from 1 species
GGAACAUCUGGAGUUAAUUGGGAUAUUAAAAGAGAAAAGUGGAGAGCCAUCCGGGCUCAACCUGGGAACUGCAUUCGAAACUGGCAGGCUUGAGUCUUGUAGAGGGGGGUAGAAUUCCAGGUGUAGCGGUGAAAUGCGUAGAGAUCUGGAGGAAUACCGGUGGCGAAGGCGGCCCCC